AGAUGAACGCUGGCGGCAGGCCUAACACAUGCAAGUCGAACCGUAACAGGAAGCAGCUUGCUGCUUCGCUGACGAGUGGCGGACGGGUGAGUAAUGUCUGGGAAACUGCCUGAUGGAGGGGGAUAACUACUGGAAACGGUAGCUAAUACCGCAUAACGUCGCAAGACCAAAGAGGGGGACCUUCGGGCCUCUUGCCAUCGGAUGUGCCCAGAUGGGAUUAGCUAGUAGGUGGGGUAACGGCUCACCUAGGCGACGAUCCCUAGCUGGUCUGAGAGGAUGACCAGCCACACUGGAACUGAGACACGGUCCAGACUCCUACGGGAGGCAGCAGUGGGGAAUAUUGCACAAUGGGCGCAAGCCUGAUGCAGCCAUGCCGCGUGUAUGAAGAAGGCCUUCGGGUUGUAAAGUACUUUCAGCGGGGAGGAAGGGAGUAAAGUUAAUACCUUUGCUCAUUGACGUUACCCGCAGAAGAAGCACCGGCUAACUCCGUGCCAGCAGCCGCGGUAAUACGGAGGGUGCAAGCGUUAAUCGGAAUUACUGGGCGUAAAGCGCACGCAGGCGGUUUGUUAAGUCAGAUGUGAAAUCCCCGGGCUCAACCUGGGAACUGCAUCUGAUACUGGCAAGCUUGAGUCUCGUAGAGGGGGGUAGAAUUCCAGGUGUAGCGGUGAAAUGCGUAGAGAUCUGGAGGAAUACCGGUGGCGAAGGCGGCCCCCUGGACGAAGACUGACGCUCAGGUGCGAAAGCGUGGGGAGCAACAGAUA
rnacentral:rRNA from 1 species